AGAAACACGUUGAAGUGGAAAGUAAAUUGUUCGUGGAUUGAUAGAGAGCUUACGGUUGGUGGAAGUAAGUAGUCUAACCCAAUUGAAAAUGGCCACUGAGUGGCUAGUCUGAAUGCAUAGCAAUAAGACUAGACGGCGGCACCCGUUAGAUAGGCAGCAGUAUAACAAGACGGUAAGUCUUGCGUACUGGCUGAGGUAGCUUCAGUGAUGGAUCUACAAAAUAAGGUGGUAACACGAAUUCUUCUCGUCCUUUGU
rnacentral:ncRNA from 1 species